GCCAGUAUAGCUCAGUCGGUAGAGCAUCAGACUUUUAAUCCGAGGGUCCAGGGUUCAAGUCCCUGGUCGGGUGGUU